AUUGAACGCUGGCGGCAGGCCUAACACAUGCAAGUCGAACGAGUGGGAGACGGGUGCGUAAUGUCUGGGACACUCCCCGAUGGAGGGGGAUAACUACUGGAAACGGUAGCUAAUCCCGCAAACCAUCGGCUGUGCCCAGAUGGGCUUAUCUAGUAGGUGGGGUAACGGCUCACCUAGGCGGCGAUCCCUACCUGGUCUGAGAGGAUGACCAGCCACACUGGAACUGAGACACGGUCCAGACUCCUACGGGAGGCAGCAGUGGGGAAUAUUGCACAAUGGGCGCAAGCCUGAUGCAGCCAUGCCGCGUGUGUGAAGAAGGCCUUCGGGUUGUAAAGCACUUUCAUCGGGGAGGCGUUACUCGCAGAAGAAGCACCGGCUAACUCCGUGCCAGCAGCCGCGGUAAUUC
rnacentral:rRNA from 1 species